rnacentral:rRNA from 1 species
UAAAUAGCCUCAGUACCCUGACUGUGCAAAGGUAGCAUAAUCAUUUGGCUUAUAAUUGAAGUCUGGCAUGAAAGGAUUUAUGGGAAAUAGCUGUCUCUUAAAGUUAAACUGAAAUUACUUAGUAGGUGAAAAUUCCUGCACAUAAACAAUAGACGAGAAGACCCUAGAAAUUUUUUAUAAAGCGGUAGUUAUUACUGGUAUUAUUUUGUUGGGGCGACAGAAUAACAAANAAACUUAUUUUACAUAAUUAGAACUAUAUGUUGAGCAAAAGUAAAUUACUCUAGGGAUAACAGCAUAAUCUAUUAAAGUUUGUGACCUCGAUGUUGGACUAGGAAUUUAAGUAUU